CUUAAACACGAGGCUUUAAAAGGAAAGAAGAGCGAGGGGAGUGGUGUGAGAAGACAUGAAGCUUAAGAACAUGGCAAUAGCUGUACUGGAUGAAAAAGCUGACUGCCUCUGGAAACAGCUGAGAAAAGACUGGAAGCCCAAGGCAAAGACAGCAGCAAAUUCUGGUGUUUUCCCAACACUUUCUCCCAGCUCUCAGUAAUCAGAAGACCUGGAACUUUCUGAGCUUUCCCAGGAGUGGUGUGAUGAGCUUACAGGCUGCUGGAGUUGUUGCAAAAGCCCCGAUUCACCAAAGUGGUGAUCCCCACAGAUUUUUGAAGGCAGUACAGGGAGCGAUGGCUCCUCAUGAAGGAGGAAUGAUCUUCUAUGAUUGCACAGGUCAGUGCAGCAGGAUGCCAUGGGGCCCAGUGCCACGUUCACUGAGGAUGCAGUGAGCACUUCAGUACUGUGACUGCUCUUUGUGAAACUUGGGCAAACGCAUGACCCAUUGCCAACACAGCAGGUGAUUUGAGGCUAAACAAGAAAGCAGUGAUGCUACCAGAUUUCCAUUGACAAGCAGGAAAAAUGAGAGUCUGAAGUUUCCUCUGCAUCUCUACUUGUGACCAUCACAUAUAAACACAAUGGCAUUCAGUGAAGCGCUGGAAGUAAAGCAGUUGCAUUUGUUCUCAGACAGGCUUAAAUACUUUCAUCUGGAUACUUCUUUUUAAAUAGCGUGUCCUUCUCUGAAGACAUGGAGCUUUUUUUUUUUUAUGUGGAGACUUAAUUGAAGCAGUGUUAUUUAUAGCAGUGAAUAUUCAUUCUUGUUAAAGGUGGUUCUGAGGGAGGCUAAUAAAUGUUCUUGUUUUCCUUUGCAUCAGCUAACGAUCUGGAAAACAAAUAUACUGCCAUUCCUGGUGAAACAUAUCAUGCAGUGCUGGAUCACAGUGGUUAAAUGUUGUAUUUUACCGUCAAUUUAUUUACCCUUCACUUCCCCCCAGUGCUUAAAGCUCCUACUGCCAUGCAUCAAGCAGAGCUGGUGGGCAGUGCACAUCCCAGAGCUGGCCACAGAGCUGGUCUGAGAAGUGAGACAAUAGAUGGAGCCAGAGAGACAAAGAAAUAACAGGAGUAAUUAGACCAGAUCCAUCAGUGUAACUGGGCCUGGUCUGGGGGUGCGUUAACGUUGUGGCACUGGUGUGAGGAGUGUCCUGUGAUGUGUAUGUGAUAUAGUGCUGAAUAUUGUUCCUGGUGACUUAUUCAAAGAAUUCUAUUUGCAGAGGGAACCAUUUCCAACUCUUGCAGGUUAUGUUGAGCUCAGAGAGAAACAGCUUUGGCAGGUCAUGAACAGACCCAUGGGGAGAUGAAAACGCUCUGAACUGCAGAAGCAGCCUCACUCGCACCUUCAUCAGUUCUCAUUUUGUAGAAGUUAAUCCCUCUGUGAGCUUUUUGCAAUGGCAUCUCGCUAUCCAUUGACGAUAAAGGAAGAGAAGGCAUAAAUUAGAAGCAUGAAUCAUAUCUCAAUUUAGCCUGUCUCUUCUGCUAAUAAAAAGCAUAGGCUUCCCAGAUACUCCUCUGCGAUCAGGCUAGGGAGGAGGGUGGCAGGAGGAACAGGAGAAAAAUGAUGGCUUUUACAGUGGACUGGUUUCUAUUUUCCUUUAAAUAACUGAAUUAUCAAUUAGAGAAUUUUAUUUUGUCUUUGUUUUGUGCCAAGAAUAUACUUAAGCUGGUUCUCUAUUUCUAAGUGGGAGGAAAACUUGCUGGUGAAGUAUCCAUGUUGUCUCAGUGAAUCCUGUGGCUCUGAUGCAGAUUUUGAUAGAGAAAAUUUUAUGCAAUAAACAGUAUUUUACAGAUGAGGAAAUAGAUAUAGAGUUUGUGGAAUGGGCUGUACGUAACCAUUGCAUCAGCAGGGGAAUAGCCUAUAGGCCCUGCUAGUUCCUCCUAGCCCUGAACUUUGCAUCUCAUGAGAUUGACAAGUGUGUUAAUAUUUGUGAGGGUUUCAGACACCAUAAUGAUGCAACAAGUAAUCAGAACAGAAGAUGCCGUUAGACAUCCAGUAAGAAUCUAGGAAUUGAAACAACAGCAGCUCCAUGUUUCUUUUCUUACAGCAGAGAGAAUGUGGGUUAGGAUUAGGUUGCAGUGUUCAGUUGACAAUAGGAAGCCAAUGCUUGUGAGAAGGCACAGAUGUCUUUUAAGUAAAUCGCAUUUUAAAAAAAAAA